ACGCUGGCGGCAUGCUAAUACAUCCAAGUCUUGCGGAGUUGAUAGAAAGCUUGCUUNCCUUGAUACUUAGCGGCGGACGGGUGAGUAACACGUAGGCAACCUGCCCUCAAGUUUGGGACAACUACCGGAAACGGUAGCUAAUACCGAAUAGUUGUUUUCUUCGCCUGAAGGAAACUGGAAAGAACGGANCAAUCUGUCACUUGGGGAUGGGCCUGCGGCGCAUUAGCUAGUUGGUGGGGUAACGGCUCACCAAGGCGACGAUGCGUAGCCGACCUGAGAGGGUGAUCGGCCACACUGGGACUGAGACACGGCCCAGACUCCUACGGGAGGCAGCAGUAGGGAAUCUUCCGCAAUGGGCGAAAGCCUGACGGAGCAAUGCCGCGUGAGUGAUGAAGGUUUUCGGAUCGUAAAGCUCUGUUGCCAGGGAAGAACGCUUGGGAGAGUAACUGCUCUCAAGGUGACGGUACCUGAGAAGAAAGCCCCGGCUAACUACGUGCCAGCAGCCGCGGUAAUACGUAGGGGGCAAGCGUUGUCCGGAAUUAUUGGGCGUAAAGCGCGCGCAGGCGGUCAUUUAAGUCUGGUGUUUAAUCCCGGGGCUCAACCCGGGAUCGCACUGGAAACUGGGUGACUUGAGUGCGAAGAGGAGAGUG
rnacentral:rRNA from 1 species